rnacentral:misc_RNA from 1 species
AACGCACAUUGCGCCCCUGGGUAUUCCUGGGGGCAUGCCUGUUCGAGCGUCAUUUCAACCCUCAAGCUCAGCUUGGUCUUGGGCCAUGCCGGAAACGGCCGGCCUUAAAACUAGUGGCGGUGCCGCCGGGCUCUACGCGUAGUAACUAUAUCUCGCGUCUGGGUCCCGGUGGACGCUGGCCAGCAACCCUCAUUUUUUCUGGUUGACCUCGGAUCAGGUAGGGAUACCCGCUGAACUUAA